rnacentral:rRNA from 1 species
GAUGAACGCUAGCGGCAGGCUUAACACAUGCAAGUCGAGGGGCAGCACGGGUAGCAAUACCUGGUGGCGACCGGCGCAAGGGUGCGUAACGCGUGAGCAACAUGCCCUAUACAGGGGGAUAAUCCAGGGAAACUUGGUCUAAUAUCCCAUAGCAUUUAGAGGAGGCAUCUUCACUAAAUUAAAGCUUCGGUGGUAUAGGAUUGGCUCGCGUGACAUUAGCUAGAUGGUGAGGUAACGGCCCACCAUGGCUAUGAUGUCUAGGGGUUCUGAGAGGAAGACCCCCCAACUGGGACUGAGACACGGCCCAGACUCCUACGGGAGGCAGCAGUGAGGAAUAUUGGACAAUGGAUGGAAAUCUGAUCCAGCCAUGCCGCGUGCAGGGAAGACGGCCCUAUGGGUUGUAAACUGCUUUUAUAUGGGAGCAAUAAGGUCUACGCGUAGACCGAUGAGAGUACCAUAUGAAUAAGCAUCGGA